GAACGCAUAUUGCACUCUCUGGUAAUCCAGGGAGUAUGCCUGUUUGAGGGUCAGUAAAAAAUAAAACAUUAUCAUGUUAUCCCUAACCCCGGGAUUCAUGGAAUUGGAUUUUUCAAAGGUCUUUUUUUUGUUCCUUUGAUGAUCUCAAAUUUAUGUUAUGGCUAAUUUAUAUAGAUUGAACUAAAAAGAGCAAUUAUUUAUAAUAUCUCGAAUUUUAGUGACGUUUAUAGGCCAAAUAUGAUUUUUUGGUGUUAAUAAAAUAUCAAAGUUCAUAAAUAAUUUUUUAAAAUGACCUCAAAUCAGGUAAGAAUACCCGCUGAACUUAAG
rnacentral:misc_RNA from 1 species